rnacentral:lncRNA from 1 species
AUGAGUUGUAGUUCUCCCCUCAGAGUAUUCCCCUAAGGUUUAUCAAUCCAUGGAACUUAUAGCACAAGGUCUAUUUCAACUAGCAUUGUUAGUAUUAACUUGGUAUUUAUGAGAGUUUCAGAUCCAAUCUACUAAGCAUAUACAGACAGAUAACAGAUAGAGUAAAGGUAACCAAUCUAGAGCAACUUAGACUAUGCAUAUGUUGUAAUUCAGAACAUGGAUAGCAAAGCAAUGCAGAUAUGAUCUUAGUAAAAAGUGUCUUUAAAUUUACACCUCCGGUCCGGAUCCCGAAACCCCC